ensembl:ncRNA W07G1.21 ncRNA
CACACACAUACACAUUCACAUAAACACAAAAAGCGUUAUCGCUUUUGAUAUGGGCAUCUCCAUG